rnacentral:rRNA from 1 species
UACGUAGGGUGCAAGCGUUAAUCGGAAUUACUGGGCGUAAAGCGUGCGCAGGCGGUUGUGCAAGACCGAUGUGAAAUCCCCGGGCUUAACCUGGGAAUGGCAUUGGUGACUGCACGGCUAGAGUGUGUCAGAGGGGGGUAGAAUUCCACGUGUAGCAGUGAAAUGCGUAGAGAUGUGGAGGAACACCGAUGGCGAAGGCAAUCCCCUGGACCUGUACUGACGCUCAUGCACGAAAGGCGUGG